CUGUUCAGGGCGAGGCGCAAUUCCUCACUGGCGGUAACGGCGUAAAGCCGAAAGUCCGCGACCCUCCCGCAGGGAGGCUGAUCCGGUGCGAAUCCGGAACCAACGGUACAGUCCGGAUGAAAGAACA
rnacentral:ncRNA from 1 species